AUACUCUGGUUUCUCUUCAGAUCAUAUAAAUCUUUCACUUGUUACUAAAGAUUUCCAUGGAGAGGAACAAAUUGUCUUUAACUAGUUUUUUGAGGCCUAGAUUAUGUGAGGGU